rnacentral:lncRNA from 1 species
UGAAUUUCAUGUGAGAAACCCAGUGGCUUAAACCUUAUUUUGUCAUCACUACUAAGUGUAAAUAUUGUUAUCUGCAGCUCUACUGGGACCUCCAGCUGCUAAAUGUUGGGAAUCUCAACACUCUCUAUCUGAUGGACAAACCAGUUAUCAUUGAUCCUUAUGUGCUGAAUUGCUUCCACCAAAGCACAGACCCAAAAACAUUCAAAAAAGUGGAGGGUAAAAAAGAACUGCGUGAAAGUGCGAGAAGUGUGCAGAGGCUCAAGAAGGAAGCCAGGCAGUGCUGGGCAAGAUUGGCGUCAGAGAGUGUGCAAAGUAUAUUGCCCUCUCCCUGGCAGGGACGAAGCCUCGGGGUCCGGGGUCAGGCCUGGGGCUGUGUCUCCAUGUCAGACGUGCUCCUCUUGGUGGAAGUGAAGUAUGAUGUGGUGACCCACUUGCUUUAUACAGAAAUGCUCCAGGAGCACUACACUCCGAGUAUCUGGGAGACCCUGCUGCCAUGGCAACAACAUAAGGAAAAGGAGCAGCUGGGGGAUCUUGCAGAUGAGGCUUUGGAGUCAGAUGACAUGCUUUGUUUGGCUGAGCUGCCAGGAGCAUUCAGGAUAUACAGCAGGGCCUUCCAGAGAACCCGUCAUGAGUCCAGGGAACAGUCGUGGUCUGCCCUUUCGCUCCUGUAUGAGUUACACACAUUUCGUCAACAAGAAAAGGACACACUAACAGACUUGGGCCAGAGGCUGGACAGAGAGAGCCUGAGACUGUUGUGUCUCUACAUCAGUUUGGCAACUCUCAGAGCUCAGAGAGAAAACAUGUCCUACAGUGCUCUUCUGGCAGCUCGGCAGUCCUGGGAGACAUGGUGGGCCAACGAACGCUAACAGUAAACACUGAAAAUGGAACUGUACUAACUUAUCAUCAGGUCUCGCUUUAUGCCCUUUGCACACUCGGUUUCAGCUGUGUGCCGUCUGUUCCGCAUGUAUCUG